CCCACUGGGUUGGCUGAGCCUUUGUCAGAUCUGCAUUGCCGUCUGAGGCUUUCUCUGCCUAUUUCUACUUCCUCUCUCAUUUUUUUUUUUUGAUAGAUGUCAGAUUUGCAUCACCAUCUUAAGGCUUUAGGACCUGAACGGAUGCAGUCGGUACUGGAAGUGGUCUGAGAAAUCAGGAGAAACAAUGGGGAAUGGUGACUGAGUCACUCGCCACCUGAUUGGCAAUGAGGAACCCAUGCUGGGAGGUGUAACCCAUAAAAAAUUCCACCUAAUCUCCUAUGUGUGUGUUUCUCCAUCUCCGUUUGGUGCUAGAUGGCACCAAAGCUACUCUGAAGUCACAAAAUGGAGGAAUCUGGAUCCCAGUCACCACUUGGAGGCCCAGGAGAGCUGCUCAAACAAGACUGUCUACACAGCACUUUGAGGGAGGAAGAAAUAAACUUUCAUUGUGUAAAACUGUUGAGAUGACUUACUCUAAUAUACCUACCCUUCCAGUUUUGCAACUUUCUUUAAUGUAGACCUAGCCAAAGACCAUGUGAAGCUGUUCUAGAUAGCCCUGGUCUUGACAAUUCUAAUAACUAUCUUCUGUCAUUCCCAUCCCUGUGUCUCAAAGUAGGUGCUCACCCCUUGACUCAAUGUCAUCUUAAGCUUGUCCCCUAUAUUCCUUGGCCAUCCUUUCCAGGGGAAGGAAGACAACCCUGUCCUAAGUUUCUGGUGGAAGAGUAUUAAUUCCAGUGCUUACUAAUGCAUUCUUGGGCUGCAAAGUCCCCCUCGAAAUUCUUUCCAGAAGGCCUAGAAACCAUGUAUAAAUAAGAUAUCCAACAGCUUGUUGUGAUGUUCCUGAGUAUUAAGUAUGCAUUAAGCAUGACCCUAUGCUCCCCGCUUAUUCUUUAUUUUACAAUUAUUAGUUGAGUGCAUGACCAUUGUUUUUUAAAUCGCCAUUAGGCCAAAAAUAAUUAGCAACUGGAGAGUGGGAAUUCUGAAUUAUUCAUCUUUAUAUUUCCAAUAAAGCCUAACAUAUUAUGCUACAGAUUGAAGCACUCAGUGACUAUCUCUUGAAUUUAAUGAGGCAGAUAGCAGGAGUUUUACCAACAGACUCGUGACCUUACUGAUUCAACCCACCUCCUCCAGCCUACCGAAUAUGUGAAUUUACAGAGAGGCUGAUGCAAGAUUUAUCCUUGUAAUCUGGGAAAUAAAUAUUUUCUAAACUCUUUCUUGGACAUCAGUAUGAAUCUUUCCAUCAACUUUAUUGAGGCAUAAUUUACACAUAAUAAAAUGCAUAGUUAUUAAAUGUAUAGUCUAAUGAGUUUUGACAAUUACAGACAGGCUUGGAACCACGAUAUAAAUCAUUUCUACCGUACCCAGAAAGUUCCCUCAUUCUCCUUUUAUAUCCCUUCACCAUUACCAUUCCUGUUGCCCCAGGGAACCACUGAUUUUAUUUCUAUCACC
rnacentral:lncRNA from 1 species